AGUGAACGCUGGCGGUAGGCCUAACACAUGCAAGUCGAACGGCAGCACAGUAAGAGCUUGCUCUUACGGGUGGCGAGUGGCGGACGGGUGAGGAAUACAUCGGAAUCUACUUUUUCGUGGGGGAUAACGUAGGGAAACUUACGCUAAUACCGCAUACGACCUACGGGUGAAAGCAGGGGAUCUUCGGACCUUGCGCGAUUGAAUGAGCCGAUGUCGGAUUAGCUAGUUGGCGGGGUAAAGGCCCACCAAGGCGACGAUCCGUAGCUGGUCUGAGAGGAUGGUCGGCCCCACUGGAACUUGAGCACGGUCCAGGCUCCUAAGGGAGGCCGCAGUGGGGAAUAUUGGACAAUGGGCGCAAGCCUGAUCCAGCCAUACCGCGUGGGUGAAGAAGGCCUUCGGGUUGUAAAGCCCUUUUGUUGGGAAAGAAAAGCAGCAGGUUAAUACCCCGCUGUUCUGACGGUACCCAAAGAAUAAGCACCGGCUAACUUCGUG
rnacentral:rRNA from 1 species